AAACGAGUGCUACUGCAGUGCUGCGCGAGUGUGCAUCCAGCGCCCUAACCCCCAAAUCCCCAAUCCAAACUAGCUCAGUAGCUCUCUCUUCUCCAAAUCUCCCCCUCUGCGCGACCCACGUCCUUGAGUUUCCACACCUGCGAGGCUGCGACACCCACGUUCCUCCCAAGUCUCACCACCGCGAAGCCUUUCUCCGAAUCCCAACGCCGAAGCCUUCCUCUUCGCGGACAGAGCAGAGAUCCUCCCAAGUCCCACCACUGCAAAGCCUUCCUCUUCAAGCCAGCACGCCACCCUCUGACCCAGCAGGCCAGCAACACGCCACCACCCACUGACUCAACAGGGCAGAGCACCACGCCAGUGAGACGCCACAAACUAUGACUUAAGCAAUGUGGAUUUGGCCACCCUCCCUUGUGUAUCAAAAUUCUCAAUUGGAUUCAACACAGAGGAAACAUCAUGAUCCCUUUCUUGAGUUUCUUCUUUCUUGUCCUGCCUUAGGCUAUUAACUUCGGUCUCCGCUAUUUCAGCCGAUGAAAUUGGUUUCCUAUAAUCAGUCAACAGCGAAAACAAUGACUCUGAAGACUCUUCUUGAAUUCCAUUGACAUCACCACCUUCUUCUCUGGCAGAAGAAUUUUUUUCUUCAGGAUUCACCUUCUCUAUGGCAAUGCAAUUUUGUUGCUCAGCAGGUUUUUCUAUGUCUGCUUCCUUGUUGGAUGAAGAGAAUUAAACUUUGAGUUGACUCAUUGAUUUGGGCACAUGUAUCAUGGUAUGAAUUGUUCUCUUUAUUAUUAGAAUGUAUAACUUGACUAUCUUUUAAUGGAAAUUUAUUUUUAUUUUCA